rnacentral:rRNA from 1 species
CAGUAGUCACGUAGUUUGAUCAUGGCUCAAGAACGAACGCUGGCGGCAUGCCUAACACAUGCAAGUCGAACGAGACCUUCGGGUCUAGUGGCGCACGGGUGCGUAAACGCGUGGGAACCUGCCCUUUUAGGGUUCGGAAUAACUCCAGAGAAAUUUGAGCUAAUACCGGAUAAUGUCUUCGGACCAAAGAUUUAUCGCCUUUAGAUGGGCCCGCGUUGGAUUAGCUAGUUGGUGGGGUAAAGGCCUACCAAGGCGACGAUCCAUAGCUGGUCUGAGAGGAUGAUCAGCCACACUGGGACUGAGACACGGCCCAGACUCCUACGGGAGGCAGCAGUGGGGAAUAUUGGACAAUGGGCGAAAGCCUGAUCCAGCAAUGCCGCGUGAGUGAUGAAGGCCUUAGGGUUGUAAAGCUCUUUACCCGAGAUGAUAAUGACAGUAUCGGGAGAAUAAGCUCCGGCUAACUCCGUG